rnacentral:rRNA from 1 species
CUACGGGAGGCACCAGUGGGGAAUAUUGCACAAUGGGCGCAAGCCUGAUGCAGCCAUGCCGCGUGUAUGAAGAAGGCCUUCGGGUUGUAAAGUACUUUCAGCGGGGAGGAAGGGAGUAAAGUUAAUACCUUUGCUCAUUGACGUUACCCGCAGAAGAAGCACCGGCCAACUCCGUGCCAGCAGCCGCGGUAAUACGGAGGGUGCAAGCGUGUAAUCGGAAUUACUGGGCGUAAAGCGCACGCAGGCGGUUUGUUAAGUCAGAUGUGAAAUCCCCGGGCUCAACCUGGGAACUGCAUCUGAUACUGGCAAGCUUGAGUCUCGUAGAGGGGGGUAGAAUUCCAGGUGUAGCGGUGAAAUGCGUAGAGAUCUGGAGGAAUACCGGUGGCGAAGGCGGCCCCCUGGACGAAGACUGACGCUCAGGUGCGAAAGCGUGGGGAGCAAACAGGAUUAGAUACCCCGGUAGUC